rnacentral:rRNA from 1 species
GAAGUAAAAAGUGUAACAAGGUCUCCGUUGGUGAACCAGCGGAGGGAUCAUUACCGAGUUUACAACUCCCAAACCCCUGUGAACAUACCACUUGUUGCCUCGGCGGAUCAGCCCGCUCCCGGUAAAACGGGACGGCCCGCCAGAGGACCCCUAAACUCUGUUUCUAUAUGUAACUUCUGAGUAAAACCAUAAAUAAAUCAAAACUUUCAACAACGGAUCUCUUGGUUCUGGCAUCGAUGAAGAACGCAGCAAAAUGCGAUAAGUAAUGUGAAUUGCAGAAUUCAGUGAAUCAUCGAAUCUUUGAACGCACAUUGCGCCCGCCAGUAUUCUGGCGGGCAUGCCUGUUCGAGCGUCAUUUCAACCCUCAAGCACAGCUUGGUGUUGGGACUCGCGUUAAUUCGCGUUCCCCAAAUUGAUUGGCGGUCACGUCGAGCUUCCAUAGCGUAGUAGUAAAACCCUCGUUACUGGUAAUCGUCGCGGCCACGCCGUUAAACCCCAACUUCUGAAUGUUGACCUCGGAUCAGGUAGGAAUACCCGCUGAACUUAAGCAUAUC